UCGGGUAUGGUGCACGGUACACGGCUCCUCACAUUACGACGCCUGUUAAGUAAUGUCGCAGGAGCAGACCGGGGUUCGACUCCCCGUGCCCGAA